UACGGAGGGGACUAGCGUUGUUCGGAAUUACUGGGCGUAAAGGGCUCGUAGGCGGCCAACUAAGUCAUACGUGAAAUCCCUCAGCUUAACUGGGGAACUGCGUGUGAUACUGGAUGGCUUGGAUUUGGGAGAGGGAUGCGGAAUUCCAGGUGUAGCGGUGAAAUGCGUAGAUAUCUGGAGGAACACCGGUGGCGAAGGCGGGUCUCUGGGCCGAUACUGACGCUGAGGAGCGAAAGCGUGGGGAGCGAACAGG
rnacentral:rRNA from 1 species